rnacentral:rRNA from 1 species
GACAACUCUAGAGAUAGAGCCUUCCCCUUCGGGGGACAAAGUGACAGGUGGUGCAUGGUUGUCGUCAGCUCGUGUCGUGAGAUGUUGGGUUAAGUCCCGCAACGAGCGCAACCCUUAAGCUUAGUUGCCAUCAUUAAGUUGGGCACUCUAAGUUGACUGCCGGUGACAAACCGGAGGAAGGUGGGGAUGACGUCAAAUCAUCAUGCCCCUUAUGAUUUGGGCUACACACGUGCUACAAUGGACAAUACAAAGGGCAGCGAAACCGCGAGGUCAAGCAAAUCCCAUAAAGUUGUUCUCAGUUCGGAUUGUAGUCUGCAACUCGACUACAUGAAGCUGGAAUCGCUAGUAAUCGUAGAUCAGCAUGCUACGGUGAAUACGUUCCCGGGUCUUGUACACACCGCCCGUCACACCACGAGAGUUUGUAACACCCGAAGCCGGUGGAGUAACCUUUUAGGAGCGAGCCGUCGAAGGUGGGACAUAUGAUUGUGGUGAAU